UUCUCCGAUAAUCAGCCCAGACUAUUUAUAUAAUAAAUGAGUUCUUAUUCUACUUUCAAUAUAUUUCUUGUUAAAAUAAAUUACACGAUAUAAAUAAAUAAAUAACAUAUCACUAAUAUGAAGAGAAAACAUGAGUUAAGGCAAAUGCUCCAGUAUUUGAUUUUUUAAAAUGUAUUAUUUUGCAACAAAUAAAUCAACAAGAUGCUCAAAUCAAUGUAACAAAUCAAGACAGAUUCUUGAAUUAAAAAAUAAAUUAAGUAACAUAUCAGUCAUUUUACCCAGAUUUGUCUUGAUCAUUGCACAAUCCUUACGUAUACGAUGUCAAAUUGUUAACAAUUUUUUUUCUCUUGCAUGGCCUUUGGGAGCUGUGCCCACUUAAAAUUAGCUUAAAAUUAACGCUUAACUAAACCUACCAAACACCAUUUUACGAACCCAAUCGAACAAUCAAGCAUAUAGUCCAUGUGGUGAGACCGCUCCCGUCUGAAAAACAUUUCUAAUUCGGUUUCUCUGCGGAUUCAUAUUCAAAAAUGUCCCCUUACAAAUCUGAAGGGUGCCGGACUGAAUUUUUGGGCAGAAAUUGUUUAAACAAUUUUUUAAAACUAAUACAUAAGAUCGCCUGUUAUUGCUCCAAAAAAUAUAUUUUUAGGUUUUUUGGGUCAUUCUUAGUGACCAACUAGCCCGAAAAAUCCGGGACAUGGCCCGAAUUACGAAGUCGUGUCCCUGACAAGGCUUCCGGGCCAUCCGAAUUUUCGACGUUUUGGUAUUUUGAAACGUCUAUUUUGAGAUUUUGAAUACGUUAUUCUUCUAAGAAUUCACAUCAAAUUGAAUUGGUGGGACAAAAAAAUUCCCUAUUUCUAGAGUGUAAUAUGUACUAAUACCACAUGCAAAACGCAUGCAUUUUAUAUCGUGGUAUUCUACGAAAACUCAAACUCUAGACUUUUUCCCGUUUCUGUAUAUUAAUCAUC